rnacentral:rRNA from 1 species
GGAAUUGUUCGCAAUGGGCGCAAGCCUGACGACGCAACGCCGCGUGGAGGAUGAAGGGCUUCGGCUCGUAAACUCCUUUCGACCGAGAUGAACAUCCCCGGGGUUAAUACCUCCGGGGACUGACAGUAUCGAGGGAAGAAGCCCCGGCUAACCCCGUGCCAGCCGCCGCGGUAAUACGGGGGGGGCAAGCGUUGUUCGGAAUUACUGGGCGUAAAGGGUUCGUAGGUGGCCAACUAAGUCAGGAGUGAAAUCCCUCAGCUUAACUGGGGAACUGCUUCUGAUACUGGUUGGCUUGAGUGCAGGAGAGGAAUGCGGAAUUCCAGGUGUAGCGGUGAAAUGCGUAGAUAUCUGGAGGAACACCGGUGGCGAAGGCGGCAUUCUGGACUGUAACUGACACUGAGGAACGAAAGCCAGGGGAGCAAAC